UUAAGCGACUAAGCGUACACGGUGGAUGCCCUGGCAGUCAGAGGCGAUGAAGGACGUGCUAAUCUGCGAAAAGCGUCGGUAAGGUGAUAUGAACCGUUAUAGCCGGCGAUGUCCGAAUGGGGAAACCCAGUGCAAUUCGUUGCACUAUCGUUAACUGAAUACAUAGGUUAACGAGGCGAACCGGGGGAACUGAAACAUCUAAGUACCCCGAGGAAAAGAAAUCAACCGAGAUUCCCCCAGUAGCGGCGAGCGAACGGGGAGCAGCCCAGAGUCUGAAUCAGCUUGUGUGUUAGUGGAACGGUCUGGAAAGUCCGACGGUACAGGGUGAUAGUCCCGUACACCAAAAUGCACAGGUUGUGAACUCGAAGAGUAGGGCGGGACACGUGGUAUCCUGUCUGAAUAUGGGGGGACCAUCCUCCAAGGCUAAAUACUCCUGACUGACCGAUAGUGAACCAGUACCGUGAGGGAAAGGCGAAAAGAACCCCGGCGAGGGGAGUGAAAAAGAACCUGAAACCGUGUACGUACAAGCAGUGGGAGCACCUUCGGGUGUGACUGCGUACCUUUUGUAUAAUGGGUCAGCGACUUAUAUUCUGUAGCAAGGUUAACCGUAUAGGGGAGCCGCAGGGAAACCGAGUCUUAACUGGGCGUUAAGUUGCAGGGUAUAGACCCGAAACCCGGUGAUCUAGCCAUGGGCAGGUUGAAGGUUGGGUAACACUAACUGGAGGACCGAACCGACUAAUGUUGAAAAAUUAGCGGAUGACUUGUGGCUGGGGGUGAAAGGCCAAUCAAACCGGGAGAUAGCUGGUUCUCCCCGAAAGCUAUUUAGGUAGCGCCUCGUGAACUCAUCUUCGGGGGUAGAGCACUGUUUCGGCUAGGGGGUCAUCCCGACUUACCAACCCGAUGCAAACUACGAAUACCGAAGAAUGUUAUCACGGGAGACACACGGCGGGUGCUAACGUCCGUCGUGAAGAGGGAAACAACCCAGACCGCCAGCUAAGGUCCCAAAGUCAUGGUUAAGUGGGAAACGAUGUGGGAAGGCACAGACAGCCAGGAUGUUGGCUUAGAAGCAGCCAUCAUUUAAAGAAAGCGUAAUAGCUCACUGGUCGAGUCGGCCUGCGCGGAAGAUGUAACGGGGCUAAACCAUGCACCGAAGCUGCGGCAGCGACACUAUGUGUUGUUGGGUAGGGGAGCGUUCUGUAAGCCUGCGAAGGUGACCUGUGAGGGUUGCUGGAGGUAUCAGAAGUGCGAAUGCUGACAUAAGUAACGAUAAAGCGGGUGAAAAGCCCGCUCGCCGGAAGACCAAGGGUUCCUGUCCAACGUUAAUCGGGGCAGGGUGAGUCGACCCCUAAGGCGAGGCCGAAAGGCGUAGUCGAUGGGAAACAGGUUAAUAUUCCUGUACUUGGUGUUACUGCGAAGGGGGGACGGAGAAGGCUAUGUUAGCCGGGCGACGGUUGUCCCGGUUUAAGCAUGUAGGCUGGUUGUCCAGGCAAAUCCGGAUAAUCAAGGCUGAGGUGUGAUGACGAGGCACUACGGUGCUGAAGUAACAAAUGCCCUGCUUCCAGGAAAAGCCUCUAAGCAUCAGGUAACAUCAAAUCGUACCCCAAACCGACACAGGUGGUCAGGUAGAGAAUACCAAGGCGCUUGAGAGAACUCGGGUGAAGGAACUAGGCAAAAUGGUGCCGUAACUUCGGGAGAAGGCACGCUGGUGUGUAGGUGAAGUCCCUGCGGAUGGAGCUGAGACCAGUCGAAGAUACCAGCUGGCUGCAACUGUUUAUUAAAAACACAGCACUGUGCAAACACGAAAGUGGACGUAUACGGUGUGACGCCUGCCCGGUGCCGGAAGGUUAAUUGAUGGGGUUAUCCGUAAGGAGAAGCUCUUGAUCGAAGCCCCGGUAAACGGCGGCCGUAACUAUAACGGUCCUAAGGUAGCGAAAUUCCUUGUCGGGUAAGUUCCGACCUGCACGAAUGGCGUAAUGAUGGCCAGGCUGUCUCCACCCGAGACUCAGUGAAAUUGAACUCGCUGUGAAGAUGCAGUGUACCCGCGGCAAGACGGAAAGACCCCGUGAACCUUUACUAUAGCUUGACACUGAACAUUGAGCCUUGAUGUGUAGGAUAGGUGGGAGGCUUUGAAGCGUGGACGCCAGUCUGCGUGGAGCCAACCUUGAAAUACCACCCUUUAAUGUUUGAUGUUCUAACGUUGGCCCCUUACCGGGGUUGCGGACAGUGUCUGGUGGGUAGUUUGACUGGGGCGGUCUCCUCCCAAAGCGUAACGGAGGAGCACGAAGGUUAGCUAAUCCUGGUCGGACAUCAGGAGGUUAGUGCAAUGGCAUAAGCUAGCUUGACUGCGAGCGUGACGGCGCGAGCAGGUGCGAAAGCAGGUCAUAGUGAUCCGGUGGUUCUGAAUGGAAGGGCCAUCGCUCAACGGAUAAAAGGUACUCCGGGGAUAACAGGCUGAUACCGCCCAAGAGUUCAUAUCGACGGCGGUGUUUGGCACCUCGAUGUCGGCUCAUCACAUCCUGGGGCUGAAGUAGGUCCCAAGGGUAUGGCUGUUCGCCAUUUAAAGUGGUACGCGAGCUGGGUUUAGAACGUCGUGAGACAGUUCGGUCCCUAUCUGCCGUGGGCGCUGGAGAAUUGAGGGGGGCUGCUCCUAGUACGAGAGGACCGGAGUGGACGCAUCACUGGUGUUCGGGUUGUCAUGCCAAUGGCACUGCCCGGUAGCUAAAUGCGGAAGAGAUAAGUGCUGAAAGCAUCUAAGCACGAAACUUGCCCCGAGAUGAGUUCUCCCUGAGACUAUAAGUCUCCUGAAGGAACGUUAAAGACGAUGACGUUGAUAGGCCGGGUGUGUAAGCGCAGCGAUGCGUUGAGCUAACCGGUACUAAUGAACCGUGAGGCUUAACCUU
rnacentral:rRNA from 1 species